rnacentral:tRNA from 1 species
GUUUUGAUAGUUUAAAUAAAACGCUGGUCUUGUAAACCAAAAUUAAGUAUUACUUUUAAAACU